AGCGUCUCUAGAUCUCGUAUUUGAAUUUGUGGCGCUUGGUGUCCGCGAGUUGCCGAAUGAAGCUGAGCGUCUCAGUGGAACCAGGGAUCUCAGGGAGGGGAAGGUAUAAAAUUUUCAAAUGGAGGAGUAUACCUGAACCUAAUCAUGGAUGUGAUUUUAUAUACAGAUAAGCUGAUUCUAAAACUUACAAGAAUGGCAAAGAAACAAGAAGAGCUUAAACUGCAAUCAUCAACAGAGAAGCUUUCUGCAACCAAAGACUGAAGCCUUAGGCUAUGGCAGAAGUUGGGCGCCUGAAGUACACGUGGAAAUAUGCCAACUGAACAUUGGACUACCACCGCCUGCCCCUGGCUCAGCGCCCGGUGCCAACAGAACACCUUUCAGGAUCCACAGCAACGCAGACAACGUAAGUACCAGCCGUUCCCUGAAACCCUUUUGCAGAUUUUUUAAAAACAACCACCUAAAACAUAGAGAGAGAGAGACAAGCCUCUUUCCCCUUCUUCUCCCCUGCGUUAUGCCACCAGUGUUUCCUCAGUAGCCCCUUCCAAAUCGCUCUGCCUUCAAGUUUGUGCAUGUCUGUGUGGCAUCCCUCCUCCUCCUUCACUCCCAUAGUGGAUCUUGUAAAAGGGCUUCAGAUCGGCCCCAUUCAUCUCCCUGGUGAUAGCAGUGAAUGUAGAUAAAUCUCUGGCUGCCUGCUUGCUGCUGGAGUAUGAUUUUUAUUUUGUCUUCUGUGUAUACCUGGGUCAAAAAGUGGGAUGUAUGCAUACACAUACAUGCACAUACACAUAUUUCCUUCUCUCUCCUCUCUCUCCCUCCUUUUUCUCACACAUGCAUACAUCCUACAUAUGUGUGUAUAUGCAUAAACAUAUACACCUAUAUACAUACCCAUACCUGUAGCACAAAAUAUAUACAUAUCUAAACGUUUGUCUGAAAAUAUGCAUAUUUAUAUACACAUACAACCUUACACAUGUGUUUAUACGCAAUCGAUAGGUGCCUAUCUUUUAAUUUAUACCCAUCUAUAUCUCCAUUUAAAUAUUCCCUCUCUUCUCCCAGCAGAGGCUGUGUGCAAUUGCAAUCCAGGAUUAUACAAGCAGUAUUCUUUCCUUAUGAUUUCUAGUUGUAGACCUUUAUCCUCCUUUCUCUGCCUUCUUCGCAGCUGUAGAAUUGGCAUCUUUCCCUGAGGUUUUCCGAGUGGCAAGUGGCACCGGCUGUGGCAUGUAUUCAUGCCGCUUCCUAUGGCAUUUCUCUUCCGAUGUCUGCUUUUUCUUUGUUUGUUGUUGACUAGGCUGAAUGGUGGGGUUUUUUUUAAGUUAAUUAUAAACGAAGUUGAAAUAGCAAACAAGCCAACAGCUUGUCCCCCCCACCAAAAGAAAAAUUAGCCCCACACAAGCGCCUUCUGCUGCAACAGAUGCCCAGAUCACCCCUGGCACGGGCAAACGGGCAAACGAUUUUGGUGGUUUUCAGUUUUUUCUGUUUGUUGCUGUAUUUGUUGUUUGUUUUCCUUGUUUCUUUUUGAUUUUUCGAGGAGUCCAGAAUCCCGGCCUCUGCUUGGAACGGAACAGUGUCAUGGCGGAGACGACGGCCUUUGUCUUGCUGGGUGUGAAAACAUCCGCUGUGCUGGCUCCACUGCGGCAGAAUCAAGUUUAAAGGAAAAAAA
rnacentral:lncRNA from 1 species